UAUUAUUCGGUGGACAACAAUGGAGGGGCAUUUAUGUAAUUGAAACGAUGAUCCAUCGCCUUCAUGAUCAUCUGAAACUGAAAACAGGUAUCCUCCGGGCCCUUCUCAGCCGCUUCACCUUUUUCUCUUGUAGUAUUUGAUUUCUUUGCAAAUUAAUAAGGCACAAGCACAAAUACGACUAAAAUAAGGGUGAAUUGAAAGCCAGACAGGCACAGAGUAGCUAACUAGUAUUUGUUUACAGUGGAGAGAGAGAGAGAGAGAGGAUAGAGGAGAGAGAGAAGAAAGGAAGGAGGAGGAGGAAAGAGGAAGGAAAUUUAUUAAUUAAUGGAAGAAGAUGGACGACGGGUCAAAGGAAAAGGAAACCCCACUACCUGUUCCUUUCCUACAGGCGUGGUUGUAUCACCGAAUGAAUGAAUGAACGAAUGCCCCUAGCAGCAGCAGUUCAGGAAAGAGAGAGAGAGAGAGAGAGAGAGAGAGAGACUUCUCAGAGAAAGAGAGAGACUUCUCUUCUCUCCUCUUCUUUAUAAUCAUCCUCGCGUGUGUAAUAACUACACAUUCCUUGGCUGCCUUGGCCUUACAAACAUCAUCCAUAUCCAUCCCCUGAGAAAACUUACAGAGAAAAGGAAAAUGAAAAAGAAAAACAAAACCCUCUCUACUCUCUCUGGGAGAGAGAGAGAGAGAGAGGGAGAGAGAGAGAGAGAGAGAGAGAUCUUCGUAUCGCUUUCCUUUCUCUGACUCUCAUGAAGACAGCGACCUCUCCCUCCCCUUCCCUCCCUCGCACUUACAGCUCCUCCGUGAUUUGUGCUCUCUCUUCACUUUUCGUUUUUAAUUAUAUUAUUAUUACCUCUCUUUAUUGAGUUUUUUCUUUUUCUUUUUUAUUAAUCCCCUUCCCUUUGUUUUGUUUUCUCUCUCUCUCUUUCCGCUUAACUGUUCUGUGCUGCAGAUGAUUGGUAUUCUAUUCCGAUCGAAAUUAGGGUUUUUGGAGAUCAGAAAAGAAUUAUGCAUCAACGGAGCUUCUGGGUUUCCAUUUGUAAGCUGAUCGUAUUCCUCUAAUCCGUCUCAAUAUUCUUAUGUAAAUCUUUAUGGAGAAGCUGUGUUUACUUAGAUUUUGUUUUUGUAAGGCCAAAAGGUUUUCAAGGCCUUUCCGGUUUGCUGGUUAAUGAUGAUACAUACUAGAUCUUGUUGAUGGGGGCCAGAAAUGCAUGAUCUUACGUGUGAAAUAGGACUGUUCGAAGUUUGAUCUGGUGUUAUUUCGUCAUCUGGGAUCUAAUGCAUAAUGGGUCUUCGUUCCUUCUUCAGGCAUUAACCUUUUCUACACAUUUUAUUCCUUCUCUUUAAUGGCUAUCUACCUCCAGUUGUUAGGGUUAGGGUUCAUGCAAGCUAACCCUUUACCUACUCAGGAAACAGCAAGCAUUUUGUGCUUUGGAUGUUUCCAACUUCCAGAAUUGAGAAUAUUCAAUACAUAGCUUUAAGAUUAAUUAGCCUUUAUGAGGAGAGAAGAGUAUAUGCAAUUGUUUCGUCUCGAGACCGCCAUCUGUCUUGAAUGAAAAUAUUCAAAAUGAGUUCUUCUCCUGCUUGGUUUCUGAACUGAAGUUCCAGGUAUUAAUUUCAUGAAUUUUGUUUCGAAAUGCAACCUACCCCAUUCUGGAGUUCCAGGUAUUUUUCUUGAUGCGCUAUUUAUUUCGAACAGUACAACCCGAGUCUGCCACAUUGUCUUGUUAAAAGUUCAUACAUUUUUCCAGUUAAAAGCCAGUUACCCAUUUUCUUUUUUUGAAAUUGAUGUGUUUAAGCUGUGAUUAAGAUUCAGUCAUUGCUGAAACCCCUAAUUGCUUUACAGUAUCUUUACAGUAUGUGCAUGUUUAGGAUAGGUUCAACAAGUAUUGCCGAUUGCUGUUACAUUAAUCAGUUCUAAACCUUCUCUUUCUCCAUUUUCAUGUGGAGUCAUUUGGUACAUCAUUUAGAAGAAUUAAGGCAUUAACCAAUAUGGAAAAUACAAAAAAAAGAAAAAGAAAUCUAUAUAAAUUAUCAUCAAAUAUUAGAGUACAGAGUGUUGCUCUACCUGUUUAGCAUCACUUUUUUAUCCUUACUUGAUUAGUUCAGAAUUCCUUGAUUAGCUGUUGCUGGAUUGUAAUGCAAUAAUGUUAAUGUAUAGAGCUUGAGUUUUAUCCAAUGUAAAGGUUUCCAAUUUUGACUUUGAUUUUGCAUCAAGUCCAUAAGCUAUUAGCAAUAUCUCUCCAUUGUCAAUUAAUCUUGUAUAAUCAGCGCGCAGUUUAAACUUUGUUACCCGCACUCUAUUGAACAAUAUAAGUGAGCUUUCUUCAGUCCACUCAUGGAUGGGUGAAGGAUUUGAAAUUAGCUGCCGACUCAUUCAUCCAAAUGCAGUAGAACGGAGUUGUACAUGCUACUGUGAAUGCAUGAAUGAUGCGGGAGAUGAAUUUCAUCCUUUCCUUCUCUAUGCUUGGACUGAAGGGAGCUCCCUUUUAUUGUUUUCUUCCUAAAGUUGAUCAUAGUUCUUGCAUUCAGAGGACAAUAUGCAGCUGGGAUUGAAUUAUUGUAACCCUUCAAAGUUAUUGUUUAGGAAGUUGCAUGUCAAAAUUUGUUGCUGAUUACAAUUUGGUUGCUAUUGAGUUUUCCCAUUCAAAAUUAGAAGUACUUGUCCUAUCUUUUGCUUAUGGUAUCGGGAAAAUCAUUAAUGAUAUACAUCAUCUGAUGUUCAAUAUCUUUUUUCAUUGUAUGCAUGCUGCCUCUUAAGGAAGUUCCGAACUUUACUUUUUUCCUUUUCUUUUGCGAACUUGUUGAUAUGGAGAAAUGAUGGCUUAUUCUUGGUCAAUAGCUGUACUUCUCUUCCUAUUUGAAUUCAAAUCUCAGAUGUGUGUGUUCCUUUUGAUCAUUCAUCCUGGCUUUCUAGUUAAUUUGAAUGUUUUUUGUUGGCCAAGUAAUUAAGGUCUCUUGACAAAAUUGACUUUAAAUGCCUCCCAUCUCUGCCUUGUUUCAUCCUGCAUUCCGUUUCGAUUGGUCUUUCAACUGUUGCUACUGCUAGAAGCACAACCAAAGAAACAUUUCCAGGGUUCUUGGGUUCGAGUUAGAAAAUCAACGAGAACUCGUUUUUCAGUCUUCAAUAACCCAAGCAUUCUGGCGAUCUGAGGAAAUUCAAAGCUUUGGUAACACUGAAGGAGUCAUGCAUGGGCAUUAGAUUUAGAACCUGGCUGCAGGCUAUCUUUGUCGCAGAAGGAACAAAACAAGGCCAGGCUUUGCAGACCAACACAAUUACAAAGAUGUAUUUACUAGUAGGAAGAUUUGAACUUACUUUCCCUUGUUCUUGGUUGUGGGGUUCGCAGUUUUUUAUGCAUGAGAUAAUGAGAUUUGCUAUCCAUCUUUUGCCCAAAUUUAAGCUAUAGGCUUUGCCUUGCUUUUCUUUUCUUUAUUAUUAUUUGCUGUGUAGCCAUUGAAAAGAAACACACCCUAUACUUCUGUCUCGCUUCUUCACAUUCAUCCACGAACAAGCCCUCUUUGCAGUUGUUGGAACUUGGAGCUACCUUCUCUUUCUGUUGACAUUGGUCAGGUCUAAGCCAUAUAUAAACAAUCUUUUGCAUGAUGAAUGCAACACACUCCUCGAGGUGAAAACUAGGUAGUGGGAGAUAGAAUGGCGAGGCUGCUGCUGCCGCAUAUGAGCAGCUUUCCCUACCUCGAUUUGUGUUCAAAAAUGGCGAAUCACAUCUUUGCUCGUUGGUUUGAAUCCUCUGAUGCUUCACAUCUUUUCUUGAUAUUUGCGUCGAGGCUCGUGCUGCCGUAAAGAUUUGAUUUUCCAUUAUAUAUAUAAAUACCCAGUUACUUGUGAAGAUCGAGAAUGAAAGUACAAUAUCUGGGUUUUCAUUAUUUCCUCCGAGAGAUGGGAAUAUGUCUUGUUUCAUCUCUUUGCCUAUGCCUCUCCUCUCAUAUUGUAUUUCUUUAUAUGCUUUAUUUAUUAUUAAAAUAUGUUCUUUAUGUCGUACUGUAUGAACAUUGUCGGCCCCUACUUACAUGCGCAUUUGAACCAAAUGGCGAUUGACACGUGAUGAUGACUAGACAUUUUUAAA